rnacentral:rRNA from 1 species
UACGUAGGGGGCGAGCGUUGUCCGGAUUCAUUGGGCGUAAAGCGCGUGUAGGCGGCCCGGUAAGUCCGCUGUGAAAGUCCAGGGCUCAACCCUGGGAUGCCGGUGGAUACUGUCGGGCUCGAGUCCGGAAGAGGCGAGUGGAAUUCCUGGUGUAGCGGUGAAAUGCGCAGAUAUCAGGAGGAACACCAAUGGCGAAGGCAGCUCGCUGGGACGUGACUGACGCUGAGACGCGAAAGCGUGGGGAGCAAACAGG